rnacentral:rRNA from 1 species
CCUACGGGAUGCAGCAGUGAGGAAUAUUGGUCAAUGGACGGAAGUCUGAACCAGCCAUGCCGCGUGCAGGAAGACGGCUCUAUGAGUUGUAAACUGCUUUUGUACAAGGGUAAACCUGAAUACGUGUAUUCAGCUGAAAGUACUGUACGAAUAAGGAUCGGCUAACUCCGUGCCAGCAGCCGCGGUAAUACGGAGGAUCCAAGCGUUAUCCGGAUUUAUUGGGUUUAAAGGGUGCGUAGGCGGAUUGAUAAGUUAGAGGUGAAAUGUCCGAGCUUAACUCGGGAACUGCCUCUAAUACUGGGGAUCUAGAGAGUAGAUGCGGUAGGCGGAAUGUAUGGUGUAGCGGUGAAAUGCUUAGAGAUCAUACAGAACACCGAUUGCGAAGGCAGCUUACCAAUCUAUAUCUGACGUUGAGGCACGAAAGCGUGGGGAGCAAACAGGAUUAGAUACCCCAGUAGUC